CCCAGCAUGGCGAAGUGGUUUGAGUGUUGGACUACAACUCUGGAGACCAGGGUUCAAUUCCAAGUUUGGCC
rnacentral:tRNA from 1 species